rnacentral:rRNA from 1 species
ACUCCUGCGGGAGGCAGCAGUGGGGAAUUUUGGACAAUGGGCGAAAGCCUGAUCCAGCCAUGCCGCGUGCAGGAUGAAGGCCUUCGGGUUGUAAACUGCUUUUGUACGGAACGAAACGGCCUUUUCUAAUAAAGAGGGCUAAUGACGGUACCGUAAGAAUAAGCACCGGCUAACUACGUGCCAGCAGCCGCGGUAAUACGUAGGGUGCAAGCGUUAAUCGGAAUUACUGGGCGUAAAGCGUGCGCAGGCGGUUAUGUAAGACAGUUGUGAAAUCCCCGGGCUCAACCUGGGAACUGCAUCUGUGACUGCAUAGCUAGAGUACGGUAGAGGGGGAUGGAAGUCCGCGUGUAGCAGUGAAAUGCGGAGAUAUGCGGAGGAACACCGAUGGCGAAGGCAAUCCCCUGGACCUGUACUGACGCUCAUGCACGAAAGCGUGGGGAGCAAACAGGAUUAGAUACCCGAGUAGUCCCAUG